GACGGGGGGGGCAAGUGUUCUUCGGAAUGACUGGGCGUAAAGGCACGUAGGCGGUGAAUCGGGUUGAAAGUGAAAGUCGCCAAAAAGUGGCGGAAUGCUCUCGAAACCAAUUCACUUGAGUGAGACAGAGGAGAGUGGAAUUUCGUGUGUAGGGGUGAAAUCCGUAAAUAUACGAAGGAACGCCAAAAGCGAAGGCAGCUCUCUGGGUCCCUACCGACGCUGGGGUGCGAAAGCAUGGGGAGCGAACAGG
rnacentral:rRNA from 1 species